UACAGUAUAUCUGGCCAACCGGCCUGGCUGUCAAACUGGGCAGUUGAUUACAACACACAGGCCAAAACACAAACAGAAAUUCUGACACGGAACGGAAAUUUCAUAAGGAGAAAAUACUUGCAUUAACAUUGGUGUCAGAAGAGAUAGUAUUUCAAUUUUGCAUGUUUCCAUAAU